GAAAUGCGAUAAUUAAUGUGAAUUGCAGAAUUCAGUGAAUCAUCGAGUCUUUGAUCGCACAUUGCGCCCCCUGGUAUUCCGGGGGCAUGCCUGUCCGAGCGUCAUUGCUGCCCUCAAGCACGGCUUGUGUGUUGGGCUUCCGUCCCUGGCAACGGGGACGGGCCCAAAAGGCAGUGGCGGCACCAUGUCUGGUCCUCGAGCGUAUGGGGCUUUGUCACCCGCUCCCGUAGGUCCAGCUGGCAGCUAGCCUCGCAACCAAUCUUUUUAACCAGGUUGACCUCGGAUCAGGUAGGGAUACCCGCUGAACUUAAGC
rnacentral:misc_RNA from 1 species